rnacentral:rRNA from 1 species
UACGUAGGGUGCGAGCGUUGUCCGGAAUUAUUGGGCGUAAAGAGCUUGUAGGCGGUUUGUCGCGUCUGCUGUGAAAAUCCGGGGCUCAACCCCGGACUUGCAGUGGGUACGGCAGACUAGAGUGUGGUAGGGGAGACUGGAAUUCCUGGUGUAGCGGUGAAAUGCGCAGAUAUCAGGAGGAACACCGAUGGCGAAGGCAGGUCUCUGGGCAUUAACUGACGCUGAGGAGCGAAAGCAUGGGGAGCGAACAGG